UACGUAGGGUGCGAGCGUUGUCCGGAAUUAUUGGGCGUAAAGGGCUCGUAGGCGGUUUGUCGCGUCGGGAGUGAAAACUCAGGGCUCAACCCUGAGCGUGACUUCCGAUACGGGCAGACUAGAGUGAUGCAGGGGAGAACGGAAUUCCUGGUGUAGCGGUGGAAUGCGCAGAUAUCAAGGAGGAACACCGGUGGCGAAGGCGGGUGCUGGGCUGAUACUGACGCUGAGGCGCGAAAGCCAGGGGAGCAAACGGG
rnacentral:rRNA from 1 species